UACAGAGGGUGCGAGCGUUGUUCGGAAUUACUGGGCGUAAAGCGCGCGCAGGCGGCCCUUUAAGUCCGUCGGUCAAAUGCCGGGGCUCAACCCCGAUGCAUGCCGAGGAUACUGGAGGGCUGGAGACACGUAGAGGCAAGCGGAAUUCCCGGUGUAGCGGUGAAAUGCGCAGAUAUCGGGAAGAACACCCGUGGCGAAGGCGGCUCUCUGGGACGGUACUGACGCUGAGACGCGAAAGCGUGGGGAGCGAACAGG
rnacentral:rRNA from 1 species